rnacentral:lncRNA from 10 species
AAGUAAGGCUGCGAAGGGCCAGGCUGGGGAGAGGCUGCAGUCGCCUGGAUGGGGGAACCUCUGUGUGCCUCAGUGUCCUGCUCUGUAUAGCCCCCACCCUUGCAGCACGGACCUCGCAGGCUGCUGGGAGGCUCAGGCAGGCUGUGUAGUCUCGGUGCUGAGCCUCGGAGCGCUGGACAGCCAGACUCUCCCUCCCAGCCCCCAUCCAGACAGCCGGGGCCUCCCUGCCUGCUCUCCCGCAGGAGGUGAAGGCAGGCAUAGGCUAACCCCACCCAAAGGGGGUCCCUGCCCAAGUGGCAGAGUGGCACAAGUCCUGGAGUGGCAAAAUUUUGAAGAACAAGGCAUAUUGAGCAGGCUUGGCAGGAGGCCAGGCAGGUGCGAAAUCAAGGCUCAGGAAGUCUCUCGGUAAAGAUGGGGUUGGACCUGAACCAGGAUUCCUGAGACCUCGGACCCCAGGGCCCUUUCCUCGGGAAGCUCUGACAGAGCUCCCUCCGCAGGGCUGGUGCUCCAGGAGCAGCUUCCAACGCUCUGGGCAACCGAAUGCCUUCCACUGCCCCAGAGUGUGGUGCUUCAGGGUGCCCCUGGGCUUAAGGUUUGAUGUGGCUGCACGCGGGCAGGACCUCUUAGCCAUCAAACAGCCACCCAGCUAAAAGGCAGAGAGCAGCGCCACAGGUGACCCAGAGGAGACGCCACUCCCCAGAGGCCGAGGAAGACUCCAAGACUUUUUUCACAGGAAUCUAUUUUUCCCUAGUCUUCCCACCAUGACUGAGCGCUUUAUAAAGCACCAUUAGAUAUGACCCCAUCUCGUCUCCAGGAACCCACCAUGAAACAAGUGUCAUCACCACAUCUUACAGGUUCACAGCAGCGCCAUUCACCGCCACCAAGAGAUGGAAACAUCCAGAGGCCCUUCCCCGGAUGAAGGAUAAACAGAAUGUGGCUCAUCCUCCUCCCUGCUGUGGAAUGCGAUUCAGCCAUGAGAAGGAGCAAGGCACUGACACAGGCCACAAUGUCGAUGAACCCUGGAAACACCAUGCUCAGUGAAAGAAGCCGGACAUGAAAGGCCAGUCUGGUGUGAUUCCAUUUACACGGAAUAACCAGAACUAGUAAAUCCCUGGAAAUAGAAAGCAGGCCAGGUGAUGUGUGGCUCGCGGCUGUAAUCCCAGCACUUUGGGAGGCCAAGGCAAGCAGAUCACUUGAGCUCAGGAGUUUGAGACUAGCCUGGGCAACAUGGCAAAAUCCAUCUCCACAAAUACAAAAGAAUUAGCCACGCGUGGUGGCGUGUGUCUGUGGUCCCAGCUACUCAAGAGGCUGAGAUGGGAGGAUCGCUGGAGCCCAGGAGGUUGAGGCUGCAGUGAGCCAAGAUUGCACCACUGUAUUCCAGCCUGGGUGACAGAGUGAGACCCUGUCAGGAAAGGAAAUGAAAGGAAAGGAGAGGAGAGAAGAGGAGAGGAGAGAAGAGGGGAGGGGAAGGGGCAGAUUGGUGGCUUCGGGGGAUGAGGGGUGGACAGUGAGGAGUUGACUGCUCAUGGGUAUAGGUCUCCUUUUUGGGGAUGGUGACAAUGUUUUGGAACUAGAUAGAAGUAGUUGUACAACAUUCUGAAUGAACUAAAUGCCACUGAAUUGUAUACUUUAAAAUAG